AUGACGACACACACACUGAUCAUCUGCUCUCUGCUGCUGAUCCUCAACGAGUGUAGAGGACAGAUCACCGUCACUCAGAGUCCCUCAAUAACAGCAGAACAACCAGGAGGAACUGUCAAUAUCAAAUGUAGAACCAGCAGAGAUGUGUACAGGGAUGGUAAUGGAGAUUAUUUAGCCUGGUACUUACAGAAACCUGGAGAAGCUCCUAAACUCCUGAUUUAUCUCACAAAUCGCCGUCAGUCAGGAACUCCAUCUAGAUUCAGUGGCAGUGGAUCUAAGACUGAUUUCACUCUGAGCAUCAGUGGAGUCCAGACUGAAGAUGCUGGACAUUAUUACUGUCAGAGUUAUCACUACAUCAACAGUAAAUGGGUGUUCACACAGUGA